rnacentral:rRNA from 1 species
UACGGGGGGGGCUAGCGUUGUUCGGAAUUACUGGGCGUAAAGGGCGCGUAGGCGGUCUGCUAAGUUGGAUGUGAAAACUCUGGGCUUAACCCAGAGCCUGCAUUCAAUACUGACAGGCUAGAGUUCUGGAGGGGAUAGCGGAAUUCCUGGUGUAGCGGUGAAAUGCGUAGAUAUCAGGAGGAACACCGGUGGCGAAGGCGGCUAUCUGGACAGAAACUGACGCUGAGGCGCGAAAGCGUGGGGAGCAAACAGG